rnacentral:tRNA from 1 species
GUCUGUAAGUGGUUGCUGUAUAACGACUUUUCCAACUUAUGAUUGUUGCCUCCUAAGCGCUAGAUACAGGUUCGAUUCCUGUCGGGGACACCA